rnacentral:rRNA from 1 species
UACGAAGGGUGCAAGCGUUAUUCGGAAUUAUUGGGCGUAAAGGGCGCGUAGGCGGCUUGGCAAGUGGAUGGUGAAAUCCCUCGGCUUAACCGAGGAACUGCCGUCCAAACUGCUUCGCUUGAGACCGGGAGAGGUGAGUGGAAUUCCUAGUGUAGAGGUGAAAUUCGUAGAUAUUCGCAAGAACACCAGUGGCGAAGGCGGCAUCCUGGACUGGUACUGACGCUCAUGAGCGAAAGCGUGGGGAGCGAGUCCGGG